GUCAUGGGAGAUGAAUAAUAAUACUAUGACACGAAAAGCAAUGAAUAUGAAUAAAAAAAAUGUUAACAAGAAAUGUUGUGAGGGAGUCUAAUUAUGUAAGAUGUGUUAUCUAGCACUUUGUUUUCCCAAUAACUUGUGUCAAAAUGUUGUUGUUAGUACUUUUGAUGUUUUGUUCCUUUCUAAUGAAAUAUGUUAUCUGUAGCAUGUUUGUCUUUGUAAUGCCAUCCCUCACUUUAAUGGAACAAAUGGAUCUUUGUUUGGCUGUCUUAAACCUUUGUCUUAGGGUUCCAUGGCGAAUGAUUAUGCAGUGUUAUUUGCAAUGUAAGGGUUCGGUCGCAUUACAUCGUAAUUUUUUUUAUUGAAUAUAUUUCUNNNNNNNNNNNNNNNNNNNNNNNNNNNNNNNNNNNNNNNNNNNNNNNNNNNUUUGAAAACCUCCCAAUUAAUUAAUGACGAUUUUGGAUUAGACUUCAAAUCGCUAUAGACCCACCGGUGAUGAUUUGAAAUCCAUUCUCACACUAACAAAUAAAAUAAGAGAUAAUCAUGUAAACCCAUUACAAAUUACCCACCAAAUCAAAUAACUAGUUAUAGAAAAACAAUAACUAUUAGUUACAAAUAAAUGUGUUUAGUAUCUACACAAUGUAAAUAGUUAUACUAGUUACAAAUCGUUAUAACUAGUUAAGAAAUUUAUUUGAAUCCUGUUCGGAGUCUUACCAAUGAUUAUACACUAAGUUUGCUAGCAUACAUAGCAUGACCAUCCAUGUUCUCUACCGGUUUCGAUAUCUUUUUUACCUAAUAAUUUAAUUUGGUCUUCUUAAUUAUAUAUAUCUGCUGUUUUUAUAAUAACAUAACGUUACUCCACUCCAUGUACCUAUCAUCACUCAUCUCCUUCCAUAAUUACAAAAUAAAAAUUAAAUUAUAAAAUUAUUGAUUUGGGUUCCACUACUCCAAGUUCAUGAAGCUUCCAUACAUUACAACUGGACUAACAAAUGGGUGACGGGAGUAGACAACUCUUUUAUCCUUUUUAAGGUAGUCUGAAAUAUUAAUUAUGAAAAUCGAAACAAACAUCGUUCAAUCUAUUAAAUAAAAAGUAUGGAUGAGUAUCUCUUUAUUAGUGAGUGACUCGAAAACUUUAAUUGUUGUGCAAGCACAUGAACAACCUUGUUAUUAUCUCUCCUCACAAAGCUAACCGUAAGAUUCGGUUUUGAAUCUAGAAUGACUCGGCAUCUUCGUAUAAUAUCGCCAAACUCUAUACGGUACUCAAACUGUCUGAUUCAUCGCGUAAACCACCACAUGUGCGUCUGCUUCAAUGACCACUCGAUCCAAUUGCAGCUCCACACACCAUUUUAAGCCCUCCCACAUAUGCAGUGCGUCCAUGGCCGCCGCCACCGUCCNNNNNNNNNNNNNNNNNNNNNNNNNNNNNNNNNNNNNNNNNNNNNNNNNNNNNNNNNNNNNNNNNNNNNNNNNNNNNNNNNNNNNNNNNNNNNNNNNNNNNNNNNNNNNNNNNNNNNNNNNNNNNNNNNNNNNNNNNNNNNNNNNNNNNNNNNNNNNNNNNNNNNNNNNNNNNNNNNNNNNNNNNNNNNNNNNNNNNNNNNNNNNNNNNNNNNNNNNNNNNNNNNNNNNNNNNNNNNNNNNNNNNNNNNNCCCCCCCCCCGGCCGUUUGAAGCUAUGGUUUCAACGGCGACGUCCACCACCUGUUUCGCAAUAUGUUGAUGAUGACUUCCACACCCUCUCAUUACCUCCACGCCACAACGCCCAAAUGAUGGCGAUCAUUUAUUUACAUUGCACUUCGCUCGCCUGCUUCAAAAUCAACAUGAUCCAUUCGGCGAGUGAUUCACAACGGUCCCUAGUUUGCUCAACUAUUGUCGCCAUAGCUUCCUUCCAACGUUCCCACGCAAAGCCGCACUCCAAGAACAAAUGCCAUCCGUUCUCUACCUCCAUCAUACACGUCCCACACUCCCAAGGCACUACAACAUGCUUUUCCUGAAGACUAGACCUCGUCGGGAGCACUCCUCUACUCGCACGCCACGCAAAGUGUUUAAGUUUGGGAGUAUAAAGAAUUGAUCUCUCCAAAGGGAAUUAGUAUUCCUCUCGACUGGGAGUUAGGGUUUUCUGUAAUAAAAUUUCUCGACAAGGGUUUUUCUUCCCCGAUUUCCACACUCGACCAAUCAUUCCUCUAUGGUGACCAGGGGCACGUGACUCAACUCUCUAAGCACCAGAAUGAAGAACAAUUGAAGAUACUACCUUCCCUUAGCAUGUUCCCAUAAAGGAGCUGUUUUAUGGCACCAAGUUUGAUAGGUUUCCUUCAGUUUUAUUUUGAGAUAGGGUCUUUUGCCAUGUACUUUAGUUUCCAGUUUCUUUGUUUGUUUUUGUGCUUUCGCUAUGAGUUAUGAUUUGAUUGAAUUGUCUUGAUGGUUUGCGUAAGGAGUAGGGGUGUUUUGAUUAUCAAAGGAAUUGAGUCUAUGUAGUUUUGUUUGUAAGGUAUACACCUCCUGUCAGUGUUUGGCAUGAGCGAUAUGAUCGAACAAAUUUUGAUGAAUGAAAUGGGCAUAUUUUAAGUUAAAAAAGAUUACAAUAUAAAUCUCGUCUUAUUUCCUCGCCUACUCUAGGGAUGACUCCUCCGAGAGGAUUAAGCAUUCUGUUAUUGAUUUGUGCUACGGUUUUAGGUUAGCUAAGUAAUUAAUUUGCAGUCGGAUUGCCUUCCCGACAAAGAUGCUCAGCCUUGAUCAACCAGUCUCAAUUCAAGGUGGAGCAUAGUUGGUUGCGUUGUGUACUGCCAACCUGGAACGUUCUGAAUUCCAAUCAAUCAUACCCCACAUAUUGACACCAGACAUUUUUUCCGUUUCCUAUCUCUUGUCAUGUCAUGUUUUCUAGGUCUAUUUUUGACAAAAAAACUUAUCUCAAUCAGACAAUCAUAAAAACUAGCGACCUCAGAAAAGUGUUGGUGCGUUCUCAACCUCCACUGGUAAUAAAUAAAUAGCAUCAAGUGAAUCCAACUACACACAUACUUUCUGGAAGAUACACCGGUACAAGCUCGUUUCCUGACUCAUUUCAUCCGUGUUACGAUUGCGUGCAUCACUACUUCUACCACUCAAGUUCAGUGGAAUGGAGCUUUGACAGAUUCUUUCAAACCAGGACGCGGAUUAAGGUAGGGAUGUCCUCUUUCUCCCUAUCUUUUCACUUUUUGUAUUGAACGGCUUUGUCAUACGAUUAUAUCUUGCCUUGAUGAUGGUAGUUGGAGCCCUAUUUUCCUUAGUCGUAAUGGUCCUCUUCUCUCUCACCUCUUUUUUGCUGAUGACUCAAAUCACUAUAUGUGUAUAUGUCAAUUUUCAUCAAUCUUCAUAAAGAAAUAAAAAAGAUUCUACUUUGAAAUUGCAAAUCUUCAACACUCAUAAAUCUUGCUGGUCAUAUAAGACUUGCUAUAUUUAUCCUAUAAUUCACAUGAUUAUAUUCUAGCCCUACUCAAAUGAUAUAAACUUAAAUCAUAUAUAAUGUUUUUCAAGAACAUAAAAUCUCAUGUUAUUUUAUUUGAGAAAGUGAAGACAUAAACAAUGAGUUAUGUGAUAUGUCAUUACCAAUAUUAUAUUUGUUGGUUGACCAAUUGGUCCCAUGUGGCAAUUUUAUCACUUGGUUAUUUGUGAAACCAACUUAUAAAACUACACCAUCAUUUAAAAAUAUGAUCAUUUAGAUCAUGCAUGAUAUUUAUUUUAUAUAUAUAUUCUUGAAUUUAAAGAAAAUGGUGUAAUGUAAUGUUAUGAUUAUGCACCAUUUUUUCACUAAGUUUUUAUCCUAUAAGGUUUUCCUAGUAAGGUUUCGAUGAGAAAUAUUCUCAUUUAAUUGUCAUCCAAGGAGGAGCGUUAUGCAAAUAUUGAUUAUAGAUGACAAUUGAUCAUAUUGAUGCAUACAUUAUACACACAAACUCCGGUGAGUUAAAAUCAUGGUCAAACAAGUGCGCUCAAGUGAUAACUUGACUGGUUUCUUUACCAAGGCUCUAUCUACAUCAAUUUUUAGGAAAGUCAUCAUCAUCGGGAGGAGUCGAUACGCGCUACACUUUUUUCCCUUAACCAUAAUUUUUCCCAUUGAGUUUUCCUGAUAAGAUUUUUAAUGAGGUGGCCUCAAAAGCGUAUUUCAAGAAUGAUAUAUAUUUUUAACCACUGGUCAUUCAAGGGAGGGUGUGAUAAAUAUUAAUAUUAUGUGUAAUGAAUGACCAUUGUGUAACUCCUAUAUGAAUGCCAUUCAUUGUCUUUCAUUUUUCCAUUCAAGUGCGAUGACAUAGUCAUAUAAGAGUUAUAUCUUGAGCUUAUCAAUAGUGUUCUAAACAUUGUAAAAGAUAAACAUCAACAAGAAUGAUUCUCCUCCCUUUUUUUAUUGUCUUUUUCUCGUUAAUUAGUUCUAUAACCCUUACGAGUAAAUGUAUUUUAGGUAAAGCUAGCUAGAACUUUCAAAUAAAGACAUUUGCUUGCAAAAUUGUUUUAUUUUGGGCUAUGGUUUUAAUGAAGACCACUCAAAUCUAAAGAGAAUCCCAACUACCAUAAUCUCAACCGUUAGUUAUGUUUAUGGUAUAUAUUAUUCAAAAUAAAAUAAAAAAAGGCACGAGUUGGUAAUAUAGCCUUGUUCCAUCUGGCCUAUAUUUAGGCACUCUACUUCAGAUGGCCGUCCUCACUCUUUGAAAUCCCAUUUGUCAUUCACCAACAGUACCUCCAAAAAAAAAUCUAUAGGAAUGAGGAAUAUAUCCUUCUAUAAUCUUAAUAAUCAUAUGAAUUGUGUAGUUUGUUGGCACGCUUGCUUUGUUGGGUUGUUCGAGAGAGAAUCUCGAACAUACCCUGGUAGCAUGUAAAUAAACAGAAGUAAUUAAUGAGAGGAAGAGAAUAUACAUAUAAGCGGUUGAUGUUUAAAAAGAGAUCGAUAUGAUUAGGAAAACUUACCGAGAAGAUCCGCAUAUAUUAUAUAGGCAUAUGUGAUAGGUGAUACAAAAUCAACGAUCUAAAAUAGUCUUCUUGUUUCAGAAUUAGGAUUCAUGUAUCAUGUGACAAUGCUAAUUAGCUGGAUCACCCGAACUGAUCCAAGCAACAACAUAAAUAGACUCUGAAAAUUAAACCUUAGUAUAUAUUGUUUCGGAUACCAUACCUUGAGAUCGAUGCUUAACAACUUAGCUAGUUGAUUUCAGAAUUUGGAAAACUGACUCGGAUUCAAUUUUAAUCGUCGGAACGGCUCAAGUUAUAGCACUAGGUGUCGUCGAGCCUGGACUAUCCGUAACAUAAAUACCCAACUUUCAGACUUAAUGAGAGUCAAACCCCAGCCGCUACCGUAGCUGUUGUAGUCGUAGCUUCUUUGAUCUCCUUUAUCUUUUCGAUUUUAUCUUGGAUUUUUGCUGUAAUGUUUCCUCGUGGCUUUCUUUUUCGGAGGGAAAAUUGCACUCUCGCCGAGAGUUCUCCUCAUCUUUGGAAACCCUAGCCGCAAUUGUCGAAGCCGUCGUCAUCAUGACUUCGCCACAACCAUCACGUCUGUCAAGAAAUAGUGCAGAUGCGAUCUUACAACUUCCGAUCCAAGAGAGACGGAAGUUAAAGCCAGGUUCUCGAAAUCACCCAGGAAACUCAGCUAAACCUCCACCUCCUCAUCCGCUACCGGUCUACCCCAAAGUUUGACUGUUUGUUCCGUCUAUUAGCUAGAAUUAUGAUAUGUCCUUUUAUUAUUGUAAUUUGCUGUUGGCACUUUUUCUAUUCCUCUUGUCGUUGCUGAUGAGUGAGGAACGAAGUUAUCGUUUUUGCGGGGACCUACGAUAAAUACAGUUCCGUUUGUUGAGUCUAUAUUUCCAGUGGGCAUGUUUUGUACGCUCGUUAUGGAACGUCUUUUGAAAUAAAAUAUCAAGUUUUAAUAUAAAAAAAAACAAUAAUCUUGACCACGACAUCUAAACAACUUCCAAUUGUCACAAAUUCCAAACUUUGUAGCACAUCUAUCAAACUUGCAUUUAUCAUAAGUUCAUUAACUAAUCAUUCUUUUUAGAGAAAAUACACAUUUAUACUCUUACAUUAUACAAAAUAUACAUCAACAUCCCUCUAUUAUAUUUUAAUUCAUUUAACUCCCAAACUUUAACAAAGUUUAUAAUCAAGCCCCCCCAUUAGAUUUUCGUUAAACAUCUCAAGCAGGUGUGUGCUGCUGACUAUAUUUUUCACUAAGGAAAAUUAACGAAUUUGAAUAAUUAUUAAGAGGAAGAUGAAACAGUAUUUUAUUUUUAAAAAGUAAAAUUUAACUNNNNNNNNUUUUAAAAAGUAAAAUUUAACUUUAAUUUUUAUUCAAAUUAAAUAAUUUUUCUUAGUGAUAAAUACAGUUAGCAGCUCACAUAAAUCUGAGUUGGUAUGUCACGUCAACAUAUUUAAUGAACAAGAAUAUAACGAAAGAACCUGUUUAUAAAUUUUAUUAAAGUUUAAAUGCUAAAUCGAUUAAAAUAUAAUAAAAAAAUGUCGUUGUAAACUUUACAUGAUAAAUAUUUAUUUUCCCUUCUUUUUAAUAAAACAAUUUCACCGCUAUUAUUAAUUAUUUAACGCGUUAACGUGUUAUUAGUUGGCGCCUUCCCACCCUCUGCUAUAUAUUUCCCCUUCUCUUCUUUCCUUCCUUUAGCAGGUGAAGAAAGAAAAAACACGAUUAUCAAUUUUUUUCUUCACCUCUCAAAACAUAGAAGAAAAAUUCCGCCAUUGUUUCCUUCCUUUGCAUUUGCUUAGCUCAAAGCCUCAAACUUUCCCUUCAUCUAGUACGGCCGGUGGCGGCAUCGACGGCGACGGUAACGACGGAGAAAAACAAGAAGAAACUUCAGAUCUAGAAAAGCCAGAGAUGCCAUCGUUAGAGGAGGAGCUUUUCCCAUCUACUCCGGGAAAAUUCAAGAUUGACCACCACCGUAGCCACCGCCAAUUCCACCGAUGCUUCUCCUCCACCAGCACGAUGUUCCUCUGGGCUCUGUUCCUCAUCGCCCUAACAGCAUCCUAUCUUAGCUUCCAGAGCUUCGUCGAUUCGGGAAGCCGCUACUUCUCCGCCUCAUGGGGCGGAAUCCAGUGGGAGAGGCAGGUUCGUAACUCCGCCCAGAUCCACCGGUCCGGGGGGAUGUCGGUGCUCGUCACCGGCGCCGCCGGAUUCGUCGGCACUCACGUCUCCUUAGCGUUGAAAAAGAGAGGAGACGGCGUGGUAGGGAUUGACAAUUUCAACAACUACUACGACCCGUCUUUGAAAGAAGCCCGUAAAUCGAUGGUGGAAGCCCAAGGAAUUUUCAUAGUCACCGGGGACAUAAACGACGCCAAGCUGCUGAAAAAACUAUUCGACGUCGUUCCGUUCACCCACGUGAUGCACCUGGCAGCCCAGGCCGGUGUUCGUUACGCGAUGGAGAAUCCUCAUUCUUAUGUGCAUUCCAACAUCGCCGGAUUGGUAACGCUCCUCGAGAUCUGCAAAUCAGCGGAUCCCCAGCCAGCUAUCGUAUGGGCAUCGUCCAGCUCCGUUUACGGGCUCAACGAGAAGGUUCCCUUUUCGGAAUCGGACCGAACCGAUCAGCCAGCGAGUCUGUACGCUGCGACAAAGAAGGCCGGUGAGGAAAUUACUCAUACUUAUAAUCACAUUUACGGGCUGUCGAUUACGGGGUUAAGAUUCUUUACGGUUUACGGGCCGUGGGGUCGACCGGACAUGGCAUACUUCUCGUUUACGAGGAAUAUUUUGCAAGGGAAGCCGAUUACAGUUUACCGGGGGAAGAACCGGGUCGAUUUGGCCCGGGAUUUCACCUACAUUGACGAUAUCGUGAAGGGGUGUUUGGGGUCGUUGGAUACUUCAGGAAAGAGUACCGGUUCCGGUGGGAAGAAGACUGGUCCAGCAAAGUACCGGAUUUUCAAUUUGGGGAAUACGUCGCCGGUGACGGUGCCGAAUUUGGUGGGGAUAUUGGAGAGGCAUUUGAAGGUGAAAGCGAAGAAGAAGCUUGUGGAUAUGCCUGGAAAUGGCGACGUUCCCUUUACUCACGCCAAUACUAGUUACGCGAGGAAGGAGUUCGGUUAUAAACCGACCACUGAUCUUCAAACCGGGUUGAAGAAGUUUGUCAAGUGGUAUCUUUCCUACUACGGCUAUAAUAACGGGAAAUCUGUAAAUUAAAAACGAGAUUUGGGGUUCUUUUUUUCUUUCUUUUUUUGUUGUUGUACUUUUAGAUGAACAAAAAACUAAGAUGAAAGAAGAAGGGAUUGACUGUCAAAAGUGAAGAAUAUCCCGAUUCUGCAAUGAUUUUACAGUUGGCUCAUUGUUACCAGCUUUCAUAAACUUUGACUAAGCUACAAUGGUGAAAAGAGAAAAAUAGUGACCACGUACAGCUCAGAUGUAUUGAUGCAACUUCAAUAUAAAAAAUUAAGCUCUCUAUGAAAUCAUAUUUCAAUUUGCACCUUUACAAUCUAUUUGGCUUUCCUUCUGGAUGCUACUUCCUUGGCCCAAGCUUUGCCUACAUCUGUCUGGAAUUUCCCUGCAAAUUACAUACAAAUGUAACAACACAUUGAAAUUUGAUUAGCCCUUGUGGGUUUUUAAUAGUUAGAUGCAGACGAACUGAAAGGAAGAAACUUUGCACAUACCAGCAGUGGACUGGAAGAACUCCUCCAAAUCUUUCCCUUGUUCUGCAUUACCCAGAUAAACCAGCCCAACUUUCAGUAAAACAGCUGAGAUCAGCUUUCUCUAAGUAACUAAUAUGGCUGUUUAUGGCCAAUCAGGCAGAUGGUAGGAAGAAAACACUCACCAUUUUCAUAUUCCAAAGCCUGAAGAAUCAUCUCCACCUAGAAAUGAACAAAAACAUGAAUGCAAAACAUAAACUGUUAGUUAUACGUGAUAUGGAUAAUAUGUUUGGAUGUCUCUACAUUACCAUUAAUAACCCUUUCACUUAACCUAUCAUCAUCGACAUAUAUCGCAUACACAAAGAUGAAAAAAUGAAGUACCUUGUCAAAGUCCUUCACUAAUUUGGCUUCUGGGGAAGAAUUAUCUUCAUACUCUUUCCACAACUGCUCUAUCUCCUUAGCUACAAAAAAUGCAUAAGAAAAUCCCCUCCAAACCAUAAAAGUUACAACUAGACACAGAAAGAACAAUCACAAGCAAAGGGAUUUGAUUCUACCUCUUGAUCCUCCACCUAACAACUUGCACAUAUGAUCCAACGCUUCAGCCUCUUUCCGGCUCUUCUCCUCCUUCGGCACUCCAUCUGAUGGGGUAAUGUCACCAACUAUAGCUGGUUGAAUGAAACAUCCCAUUUGUAAGAGAACAAUUCAUUAGCUUCUCAAGUUUCAAACCGCUAAUACUACUUAGCCUAAUCUUGACAGUAUCGAACAGCACAUAGAACAGGAAAGUUUAUUAGCUCCUCUGAUUUUGAGAACCUUCCAUUGUUGAUACUACUUAGUCUAAUAAUGAACAGAACAUUGGAGAAGAAAACUCAUUAGUAUCUCCAAUUUCAAACAUUCAGUCAUGAAAAAGAAAAACGCUAGGGAUCAUCUUGCUCAGCCCUUAAUACCUUUCCAAUAGGGUAGCAAAAUCAAGAAGAUCAUAUCACAGUUCAUUAUGCUUUGUCAACGAUUUCUGAUGAUUUCCUAUACAUGAACAUAUUAACAACUGACUUACCUUCAGCUAUGUCAUGAACAAUUGCCAUCUUCACACACCUGAAAGAAUCAACGAAACCAUACAUUUAACACACAGCAUUACAACUAGUAACCGACCAAGAUUGAAAUAAAGAAAAAGGGAGAAAUCCUAACUUGUCACGAUCGAUGCCAGGAAUAUCCGGCAAAAUCAAACCCAUCAAUCCCAUUCUGUACAUAUGAUCCGCUAUCGAUUCCGGAUCCCUAACAUCCCUCUUCACCCAUCCAGCCCUCUUCGUGGUCUGAAAAUUUACGAUUAAAACCAACAAUCAAAGCAGGAAAUCUACUUACUACUAGUGCUAAAUGGGAGAACUGGGUUUUGCUUUACCUUGAGGCGGUGGCAGAGGGAGAGGAAAUCAAUGGCUGAAGAAGGGGACGCGGCGGCGUUGGUGGCGUCGGAUGGAGUAGUCUCGGCGGUUGCCAUGCGGUGGUGAGUGCAGUGAGACGGGGAAGAGGAAGCGGCGAACGAGUUGAACCGGAAGCGGGUCGUGGGAGCAGAAAAGGAGGAGGAUGAGGUGAGGAAGAGGAGUGAGCUCGAUUUACAGAGCACUGCCGCUCGAGUUGCUAUGAUCCUCAUUUUCCCUUCUUUUUCGUAUAGUUUACUUUUUUUUCUACUUAAAAAACUAUUCAUAUUCAGCUAUUUUGCAGAAUUUUCGAAUGUCAUGAUAUUUAGAUCAUAAGAAAUAAUUAAUAUUUUUAAUAUCAUGAUAUUAGAUGAUAUAAAAUUUCCAAACAAAAAGUUCGUAUUAAAUUUAUUUUUAAAAAUGAUUAAAAUAUGAGGGUUUUUUCAUUAAUAACAUAUAUUCGAGAUUACAUGAUAUUAGAAGAAUAAAUACCAAAUAUUGUUAUAUUUUGAGGUUUCUUAUCCUUUUCACUUUGGUUAUACUUCAUGUGAUCAUUGGUUUUCCCCCCACAACACAAGGUACAAACCCGUUAUCGCCAUCGCAGCUCCGAUCAACCUAUAUAACACAAACUAACAGGCGUAAGUGUAACCCUAAGAAACAUUGUUUUGAAAACCUAACCGGACCGGUCGUCUGUGAACUGGAAUCUCGCCCGAUACCAAUUUAGCGGUUUGUGAGAUUGAUCAAAGUCGGGUGUUGAUCCGAUUUGACCGUAAAAUUUAGCCGGUUCAAUUGAAAUUAUUUGGCCGGUUGGACCAAAUUUUUAUUCCUAAACUUAUUUUUUUUAAAAGAUGAGAGUGGGAUUCGGACCCUGGGUGAAUAGUGAUUACUAGCUUUACAAAUAUCAUAAUUUGAUCAAAUCAUGCAUUUAACUGAUAAUAAUAAACAUUAUUAUAAUUAAUUAAUAUAAAAUGAAUAGCUUCUAAAUUAUAUAUUAAAUUUCAAUUAUUUGAUGAAUAAAAAGUUUUAAGUCGUUUAUAUAAUUUGUUAUCGAUAUGUCCAGUUUACCACUCCUUUAUGCCACUGCUAUAGAUAUUUUACGAGUCUGUUAUGUGUUUUUCCCCAGAGCACCAUAUAAAGCCUUAUUAUCACUGCUACACCUCCGAUCAACCUAUCCAACAACACAUAUCACGAUUUUAUUAAAGCUUGAUCAGAACCCAAUUGUGUUAAUAUUCAUAACUAAGCACGUAAGUUAGGACAAGCUAAGUUACCCUCCCAAGUAAGUUUGUUCUUGGAGGAAAAUUGCAGCAAAGAUUGCAGUAAUGACUGCGCAAAGAGGGUUGAAAAUUGCAGGGAAUACUGGGCCUCUCUCACCAACACACCAAGCUUGCCCCAAGAAAGACAGUGCCAAAGCUACUCCCUAGUUUAAACACAUGCAAUUUGUAAGAAAACAACACAUUAUCGUAACAGAAAAAAUGAUGAAAAGAUAAUCUAGAGCUUACCUCAUAUAAACAACAACCGAAUUGAAAGAUGGAAUUGAGUUUCCAAGACGAGUAAUCCUUAUCCAGGAACAAAGCUAUUGUCAUUGAUUGAAUGGUAGCCAGGAAGCACAACCAAGCUGAUGAGUAUAUCAGAUCAGGGCAUGUUGCCGCUAUUGGAACCUGUCCAUGAAAAUUUAAAGUUCAAAAGGGACGAGUAUUUUGAGAUGAUCACGUGUGUGAACAUUUUUCGUUAACGGAGGUCGAAUCGCCAGAAACUUGAAUGAAAGAGUUUUCGGUGACUGGAAAUAGUGGUGAAACUGUUGAGUUUUAGGCCAACAAAAUUAUUUUAAAUACUAUAUAAUCAUGUUAUCACUGAUUAAUUUAAGCCCUUAGAUCAUAUAAAGUUUUAAGGGCUAAUAUUAAUCUUGGAACGGUACGUAUUUUGACACGAAAUUCGGACUCAUCUUCCUAUGGCAUGCACUGCCGAUGGGGACCUAGCUAGGGGGAACUUUGUAAGGCUCUGCCACACAUCAUUGAUGCUAUAAGUAGAUUGAGAGAUAACAGUUGUGGAGUUAUAUUUCAGCUGCUCGAUCGUAUCACUUGGCUGGUAAAAGACAUAUAGUUGGGAACUUAGAGGACAGAGUUGAUUGUUGCUGGGGUUCAGUGGUCCAUGAUUUGUGGCCAUGGAGCAGCCAUGCAUGAAUCUGAGUCGAGUUUUGAUUUUGGUACGAAACAAAAAGGCUAAGCAGAACUCAGUCUAUUCCAAGUACGUACCAUAAGCCUUGGCUGAUAAUGAGAGAUUGAAAUCCUGACAGUAGUAUUUAUGAAUAUUGUUUUCUCCGAAAUGAUUUGUUUUACAGACUCUGGAAUGACCAAGGUCCUUCAAUCUUUUACAUUAGAACCUAGCCGUGGGUGGGAGCUUGGCUUUUGUUCAGUCAACCUGUGGCUUGACUCUUUAAGCUACUCUCUCGUACACUAAUGAUACCAAAGAGGAAAAUCUUCAGCGUCGUUCUUGUAUUUAUGAAGCUCAUCAGCUUCUGAAACGCAGAUGAAACGCAGAUGGAGUGUGCGCUUAUUGAAUACUAGAUAAUUUUCGAAGGGAGAAUUACGGUAGCAAAAAUAAACAACAUUAAGUAUCAUCUCAAAUUGUUAUAUCAGUCUUCAUUUGGUUUUGGAGAUAUGAAAGAGCAUGUCUUGCAAGUUGAUGGACAACUUUGUUGGCCCUCGCCGGAUCAUUUGCAUCUGCAAAUGCAGGCACGCCGCUAGAAAGGCGAAAAUCUCAGCAAACACUGUGCCACUAGCAACAAACCGAGUGUAUCGCUGAGAGAGUUUGGAGAGGACCAUCUCCACGUCGCCUUCGAUGUCAACCUGCCACACCUCAUGACCAAAGCACCACGUGCAAGCAUCGCGGACGGCCAGUAGUUCUAGGACAUAAGGAUCAAGAAGUUUUGGAUACGUCCGUCCAACCCCGUGUAAAAGGUCGUCACCCGCAUUUCUAAUCACUAGACCCACCGCACUGCCAGUCGGAUCAGCCACCGCACCAUCCACAUUGAUUUUAAUGAUAGGAGAGAGUGCGCUUAUCAAAUACCUUUAGAGAGGGAAAUCAGGUCGCAAACCUGCUUGCUCAUCAAGAGCAUUUCGCUCUGUUUUGGCCUUCACCAGUUUUGGACCCUCCCUCGUGAGGUUUCUUAUUGUAUCAAUAUUGAUAUCCUGGGAGUUACAGUCCCCUGAAUUUGUUUCUAUAAUUUUUUUGACGUAAAAGGUCAAAGUCAUUAAUGAAUUGUCGAGAAACAUAAGGUCGAAAUCUUGUCGACAAGCCAGUUCGGAGGUAUAUCACCCGAAAACAGAGACGUAUGGAACGUGAAUUGUCUAGCUAAUAAAAUAAAACUCAUAAUCCCAUGCUCAUAACAAAGAGCAGCACUUUCGCACAAUUUCACCAAACUCAGUUUCAUCGUCACCCUGCUGCGUGAUAGCCGAUCAGAGUACUUGUGAGUCGCCUUUGAAUAUGACAUUGGAAACCUGCAACCCAAUUGCCCACUGGAGAGCUUCAAGAAGUGCCAAAGCCUCUCCAUCCUUCGCCGGUAGUAGCCCCAUUCUUCAUUGCAUGCGAAAAUGCAGCAGAGUACCUCGAUGAUCCCUGAUAACCAUAGAUCUACCAGUAAUUCUUAAUCGAGUUUCUGGCUUAAGCUAACAAACACAUCGGCGGUUACCAGAAAUUUGAACUCAGGCAGUCGGCGAACAAAAGGCUUGAACUCAUCGGAAGUCUUGGUUGGUAGGGACAGAAAUCCAAUCAGCAGAUUCAAAAUGUAGAUCCCGAGCCAGUAGGAGACGACUUAAAACCCUUGGACAGUGGACAUAGUAAAUCCGCUAGACGUAGAGAAUCGCCACCGAAAGGGUUCCUAGCCACCCGAGCAUCGGCUGAGGCACCGAUUUGUCGAGAUAGUGCUGGAACACCCCGGAGAAGUCGCUGCUCCACUUGACGAGCUGGGGGACGCCUUCACUUCCCGGUUCCGCCAUGGAUUCUAAUCUGAAGAGGUCGUGGCAAGGGUUUCAAAGAUGAAGAAGUAGCAAAUGGUAAGUUAGCUGGUUGCGCAAGUUAAACUGUAAUACAAUUAGGUUAUUUAAUGCCAACAUUACAUUUUUUAUUAUUUAAAAUCAAAACAACCAAUGAAAUAUCGCUAUAUAGUAUUUAUAUCGGAUACAAAUUUUCACCGAAAUAUUAUCCUUAAAGAGCGGGUCCGCCCUUUUUAUCAACAAACAGAACAUAGCGGACCGCCCAAGUUAUAACUUAUGUUACAAUCAGUAGUACAAUAAUCACUAAACGACAAAAUAUGAAGUAAACAGAUACAAAGUCAGUGAUGUGUAUAUCUAACUCCUCCUCCACGUCUCAUGUGUAUACUGUUCGAAGCAGAAAGUGUGAUAUGUAUUCAUCAAUGAAGUUGGGCAGCUUUCAAUUGAUUUAAUUACAUACAUUGCUAUCUCCAAUGGUAUUAUUGUUAUGUUUAGAUAUUAUAUAUUGAUAGUGACGGUGUGGGAUGAUCUGCUUGCCCCGAUAUUUUCAAGGUACGGAUACCCCUUAUGUGGUUGUCACUUAACCACAUUUUGAAACGUUACGUUUCGUCUGUUGGUUACUUAUGCAAAGCCUUUAAGGACAAAAUUGAUAAUCUCGUCAGUUGGUUAUGGAAAAAAUGAUAUUUGAUUUCAUUUUUUUCAAAUAAUUAUUCGGUGUAACAGGUGAUAUCUGCAAACUAAUCUGAUUACUCAUUUUAGUGGUAAAUGGAUCUGAUUUAAAAAAAAAAUAGUUAAGUUAUGAUUAGAAAAUAAACAAAUUACACAUUUUUUAAGGUAAAUAAAAUCAUAUAAUAUUUUUGCAUUGCUUUUGUUUUUAUGGUUAUAAUCAGGAUUCACCAUCACAAUUCACGAUUAGUAACAUGUCAUGAAUAUGUGCCAAAAGAAAAUUGGAGAAAUAACGGGAAGCGUAUGUAAUCAUGCAUAGCAUGAUUGUAAAAAAUGAGCGAAAUUUAUAUAUAUGUCAUUUUGAUUAUACAGAUUAUGAAAUGAAGUUUACAUAUCCAUGCCCAUCUUUUAGAAUAUGAACAAUAUUUCCGAAAUCAUUUGAAAAUUCGUGAUAAGUCCAAAAGUCAUUAUCUUCAAACAGUUUUAAUUGAAGAGAUUUGGAGCCAGUUUGGAUCUAUAUUUUGGAUACCUAGUUCGAUUGCCAUCCUCAAAAAUUAUGAAAUCUUAAGUUUUUCCUCAAGCACUCUUUCUUAUGAGCUACCCACUAACUCCAGCUCGAAACUACAAAAUUUGAGCCGGUUGGAAUGACGUGGCUACUACCAUGUGUGCGGGUAGUAGUGACUUAUCUAGCCAACAAAGUAAACUAAAAAAAGUUUUGGAGGACGAUUAUUGAGAUAAAUAUAUUGCAUUAAGAUCCGAAAAAGGAUUACAAUAUUAUAAACAAUACAUAUUGGAUUAUUUUGUACAUAACUCAAAUAUAAAGGACCAUUUCGAUCAAUUAGCCGGGCCAUCGAUAUGGUCAUUUUUAAAGUUAAAAGUCAAUAUAAGGAAUGAGACUCCAACAAAAUGUCCAUGUCUACAUAUCCACCAUCAUCUUCUCAUCCUCGAUUCACUCAAACUUGAACUAUGGUCGGCAUAUUACAAGUCAACAUACGACAACUGAAAACUCAACGCGUAAACAAAUUAAUGUUAGAAGGUAGAUAUGCAAUGGAACGCUAGUAAUGUCUGUAAAAGUGUCCAGGGAAGCCAUCUGGGUCGGGGGGAUUGCUUACCACCAAGUCCAAAGACUACCUGUUUGAUUUCCUCGUCAGACAUCUCACGUCACAAAUCAACAUUGAUAGCAUCAGAGGCGCCUUUCGGAAAGCUGCUGAGAUCGGGAAUGUCGCGAUAGUCGAGGAGAUGUUCCACCUAAAUGCAUGGUUGUUAAGAGUAAUGGGAGUAAUGGUAUCUAUUUGCAAUAGUUUCCAAAUACAUAUACGACACUGAUUCCUGGAAACCAUAACUGGACAGACAGUUAUAGGAUCCGGUAACUCAUGCAGCACCAAAAGGUUAAUAUGCCAACUUCUACGCGAUUUUCAAGCAAAGUUUUUUAAAAUUUAUUUUGAGGAACAUUCAUUGAUGGAGCCGACAAGGAGGAAUUGAAAGCAAUAGCUAUUGAAUAGUGGGAGGCAGAGGAAAUGGGAAGUGAGCAAAGGGAGGCAGCUACGAUCCGAAUUCCCAACCAUAUUACCCUCACUCAUUUAAGGCAUUGCCAGGUUGAAAUCUUUGCCAUCAUUCACACCUACGGCACUCCCAGCUGUGCCUCUUCCACCGGUAAACCUUAGACAAGGAAGUUAACACGUCUUUCAACUAAAACUUCCCAACUGCCUUCUCCUCCCCCUCUUCACCGAGUCGUACUCCAUAUGUACCAAUUCAACUGCGCGUGUAUCAUAUGGCAGAGCCCGUGUUCAACUUGCAACUCAACCGUGUAUCCAUCCCAUUAGCGGAAUCCGAAUGGAUUGCGACCUUGGGAAAAUUUCUAAGUUUGGAGUAGGUUUGACAGCAUAGUGGGUAUUCAUUACGGAAAAACAUGAUGGGUAUCAUGAACCAUUGUAUACCAAUAAUUUGAGUAAUUGACUUGUUGGAAGAAGGUUAAUCAUGAAUUUUAAACUAUUUUUGUAUAUUUCCCCUCAAAUAAAAGUAAACCGACGGAUUUAAAGUUUCCACAAGCCUACUAUACCUUGUGCUUUCAAAUCAACUGUUAAUAUUAUUGGGGUCUUGGAGAUUAAAACACAUGAUCAUUUGGUCUAAAGAAUUCGAUACCAUAUCACGAACCGUUACAUCCCAAUAACUCGAUUGUUGGGAGAAGGUUAAUUAUGUAUUUUAUACUAUUCUCUAACAAUGGGUAAAAUUCAAACUUUGGAACCGAGGGACCCAAAUUCCGCCAUUGUGUCUAUCGAUAAUCAGUUUAAAAGGAAAAACAAAGAGUAUUCAUAUAUAGUGAUAAAUUAAAUUAUUUUGAAAGGGUCUGUCCAUAAAAGUUGUUCUAUUUCUAUUAGAGGUGUGCACUCUUGUACAUUGGGGUACGAUACUUCCUACAUGGGUGGUAUCUAGACACCACAUUGUUGAUGUCAGCAUCCACGUAGGGGUACCUAUACCCUUAUGAUAUCAGACACGCUAGUACUUCUGUGGUACGGAAACCCCUACAUGCCUAUCACCUAGAGACUAACGAGACACUACAUCGUUGAUGUCCCUACAUGAGUAAACUCCCUUCUACAAUAAGGUGAUUUAACUUUCUCUCAUGAAACGAAAAAUAAUGUUACACAAAAGUACUACGAGACUGGUGUAGUUUAUUGAUAGGAGGGGGUGGUAGCACAGCAAUGACAUUAACUCUGGACUUGCCAAAUCUAUAUUGGACUUGUAUUCUUGUAGAGCUAUAUAAGUAGGUAGAUUGAAUAUCAACAGCCUCUCACAACUCUCACAAUUUCCUCAACUUGGUUUUGCUUUCUACUCUCCACUCCGACUACUCUCUCUCUCUUACUCCAGAUUUCUGUUGUUUAGUGGGGAAAAGGGAAAUUUAAGGUUGCUUUCGCAUUUCUUUCUGUUUUUGGGGGCUCUCUCUGAGUAAAAACAGAGCAACUAUACUAUGGCUGCUGCUUUGUCUGACUGGCCAUGGGAGAACCUUGGAGUGUACAAGGUAACAACAAUACAGUUACAAAAGCUCCAAACGUUUCAGUUGAUUCUUUGACAAAAUUUGAUUUGCUCAUGUGGGUUUUUUGUUGUUCCUGUUGUUGUUUUGUCCGUGUGAAGUAUUUGCUGUAUGGACCUGUGCUGGGGAAAGUAGUGUACUCGAGAUAUCAAGGUGGGUACUUGAAGCAAGAUUGGUGUUUUUACUUGGUAAUCAUUUGGUACCUCAGGAUGUGUGUCCACAUACUGUGGAGCACUUUUGUCAAUAUGCUCUUCUUCACCAAAAGCCUCAGGAUCAACAAACAUGGCUAUGAUUUCAAGCAGAUUGAUAAAGAAUGGGAUUGGUAAGUUCCUUACUUAACUCUCCCUUGAAUAACUCGUUUGUUGGAGCAGUACUUACUUAUUGUGCUGAGUACUGGUUUCCUAUUUGAUUAAUUUCAGGGACAAUUUCCUGAUCCUGCAAUCAAUGAUUGCAUCAGUGACAUGUUUGAUGUUUCCAUCUUUCUUGGAACUUCCUGUAUGGAACACAAAAGGAGUGGUCUGCAUUUUGGUGCUACAUGUAUUAAUCUCAGAGCCACUUUACUAUUGGGUUCAUAGAUGCUUCCACAAAACCUCCUUGUUCACCAAUUACCAUUCAAUUCACCACUCAUCCGCAGUUCUCCAUCCUUACACAGGUAACUAAUCUCAUCAUCUCCAAAUUCUACUACACUCAGAUCAUGAUUGAGUUUGCUUGAUCUGAUUGAAUUUCGCUUUUUCGACAGGAUCGCAUUUGUCAUUUCUGGAGCAUCUGGUGCAAGCAACAAUCAUUGGGAUCCCAAUAUUUGGAUCUGCAAUUCUUGGAUAUGGAUCGUUGGUUCCAAUGGUUGGCUAUGUUUUGGUGUUUGAUUUCCUGAGGUGUAUGGUCCAUUCCAACACUGAAGUUAUUCCUCACCAGCUCUUCCAGACUCUCCCAUUCCUCAAAUACCUCAUUUCAACACCAACGUAAGUCAAAAACAUUAUUAAUUGUUUUUGUUGAUAGCUACUAUACUUCCUUUCUUUACUGUUUCCCUCUCUAUGAAAUCACAAUUUUGUGACAUAAAAUCUCAGAGAAAAACCUAUAAAUUAGGCACUACUAGUUGAAGUUGUCCAUAUAGAAUUAUUAAGAAGAUGAUAGGGGGUCGACCUGUCAAAUCAGGACUGGGCACGGUCCCAUUUCUGGCUAAAAAUAUGCCAUCUACCACCUUGCAGUAGUUAUGCUGCCACUGUUUAUUAAUGCUUCCACGCUCUCACACCUCUGUAAAAGUUCCAACUUCCGUUAAACAGGUUGUAGUCGAGUGGUUGUAGCAUCUCAUUUUGUUCCCAGAGAUCCUGAGUUUGAAGUCCGGAAUGCACAAUCAUUCCAGCACCUCUGUGAUGACAUUGGUCUCACCUGAGUUGACAGCCGACAACUCCGUAGUUUACCUAACGACGGCAACACUCAAUGUGGUGCACGUCCAAAGGGUUUUUCGUGUAAAAAAAUAAAAGUUCCAACUCUUUUUCCUGAAUUCAUGCUGCUCAACUCUAUAUAUCUACAGUAAAAUUGACCAAGCUCUGUCUCUUUAUUUUUUACAGGUAUAAUAGUCUGCAUCAUGCUGAAAUGGGAACCAAUUUCUGCCUGUUUAUGCCAAUCUUUGAUGCAAUUUGGAAGACCCUUAACAGCAAUUCAUGGGAGCUUCACAAGAAGCAGCGUGCAAAAGCAGGUACGUAACUUAUAAGCACAUUUCUCAACUUGGUUCAAAUAAAUGCACCCUUUUCCCGGACUUUAGUAUCUGGUACAGCUAUUUUUAGGCCACUUGAUUCUGCCCCUUUUCCUCUACUUUCCGUAGGGACCAUUUCCAAAAAGAUGAUAACUUUUUUUAACAUUGAUCAUGGAUUACAAUUGGUAACCAACUCGUCACAGCCAAUCCAACAACAGAAUUGUAACUGGUUUUGUCUGGUGUUCUCAGGGAAGUAUGGCAGAGUUGCUGACUUCGUGUUCUUGGCACACGUUGUCGAUUUAUCUUCUUCAAUGCAUUCGCCCUACGUUUUCCGGACAGUUUCUUCGUUGCCGUACAAGUUCCGAGCAUUCUUGAUCCCUUACUGGCCAACAACUUUCAUGGUGAUGCUAAUGAUGUGGGCUAAAGCCAGGGUAUUCAUCCAAUCCUUCUACACCCUCAGGGGCAAGCUUCACGAGACUUGGGUUGUCCCUAGGUUUGGUUUCCAGGUACCGUCAUGGUUCCAACUUUACCUUAAUCAUUACAUUUGGAACAAAACAGUAGUAAUAACUAAUUAUAACAUGUUAUUUUGCAGUACUUCUUGCCAUUUGCCAAGGAAGGAAUCAAUAAAAGAAUUGAUGAGGCGAUUCUCAAAGCUGAUAGACUUGGAGUUAAGGUCCUGAGUCUUGCUGCACUCAAUAAGGUUAGCCAUUGAUUUAUUGUACCAAGAAAAUAAAUUAUGAGUUGGAAGGAAGGCAUUAAUGGUUCAUAUCUAUCUAUCAACCAAUGUCAUCUUCUACUAUUGAAUACUGCAACAUUGGAAUGGGGGUCCAUAAACUGUUUUGGAUAUUUAUUAUCCCAUAUUCUGGAUUAAAUUUUCAGUUAGUGUUAGUCAAAUGUAAAUUGACAUGUAACUGAUUAUUGCAGAAUGAAGCUCUGAAUGGAGGUGGAACGUUGUUUGUAAACAAGCAUCCUGAUCUUCGAGUCCGAAUCGUCCAUGGCAACACGUUGACUGCAGCAGUGAUUCUUAACGAGAUUGGAGAUGAAAUUGAAGAAGUCUUCCUAACAGGAGCUACUUCCAAGCUUGGAAGAGCAAUUGCUCUUUACCUUUGUAGGCGUAGAGUUCGAGUUCUCGUACGUUUUCCUUGAAACCAUUUUCAUCUAACUAGGAUCGAUGAUCGGUACACUAAUUAGUAACGCGAUAUACAGAUGCUGACGCUAUCUACCGAGAGAUUUCAGAAGAUUCAGAAAGAAGCACCAGUGGAAUGCCAGAGUUACUUGGUGCAAGUUACUAAGUAUCAGGCUGCUAGAAAUUGCAAGGUGAGGAGAACAUUUUUUUGCUUAAUGCAUUUUGAGGUCACUAUUGUUUGUUUUUUUGACAUUUUUGCCCUUUUUAAAAUUGGGCUGGUAAUAGACAUGGAUAGUGGGCAAGUGGAUCACACCAAGAGAGCAAAAUUGGGCCCCUUCAGGAGCCCAUUUCCAUCAGUUUGUUGUCCCGCCCAUUUUGGCAUUCAGGAAGGAUUGCACCUAUGGGGACCUUGCUGCCAUGAGAUUGCCUCAUGAUGUUGAAGGUCUUGGAUGUUGUGAGGUAAGAGACCCUUUAGUAAUCACCAUCACUAUCUUAAUAAACUCUCAGCUUUGAUUCAUAACUUGUUAUACACUUUCGACAUGAUUCAGUACACGAUGGACCGCGGAGUGGUGCACGCGUGCCACGCGGGAGGGGUGGUGCACUUCCUAGAAGGGUGGAAGCACCACGAAGUUGGAGCGAUAGAUGUCGACAGGAUUGAUCUUGUGUGGAAUGCUGCAAUGAAGCAUGGAUUGAAGCCUGUCUCCAACAUGAACAAAUCGAAACAAACAUAGAUUAUUAAUUAUAAUGAUGUAUUGCUUCUAAUUUUUAGUGUAUUAUAGUAGCAUAAAAUGCAAUCAAAAUUUGCAGGGAUUGACAUUAAAGCAUAAAAUGCUGUGUUCUACAGAGAUGAAUGAAUGGAAAGGAAUGAGUAAACAGAAAGUCUUCUAUCUAGUUGUUCUUUGCAAAUACUGGUUGGGGAAGUUCAAUUCAUGUUGUAAUGUUGUGUAAUCUCGUCUAGUCGUUAGACCAUUAAUUUGACAAGAUUAUAAGCUUCAACUUAACGAUGAGCCUACCAUUCAAUUGAAUCAUCAACUUGGCAGCAACACAGAGUAUGUCCCUGAAACCUCUCGUUGGUCGAUUCGCUAGCGACCGGAAAUGCUCUGCUUCAACGAUGAAACACCAUGUUACUCGUCUAUGAAAAUUGUCUGCGGAACACUUCCCAACCCAACCCCUCACAAUCCACUUGCGCCGUACCGAUACACUCACCACCCGGUUUCUGACCCGGCCCAAUCCCCUAUUCAAAACUUAAGAGGUUUACUUCAGAUUUCCUCCCUCAAUUUUAGAAAAAAACACCUUCAAUACCCCAAAUAUUUAUAGUCUUUCUUCUUCUUCUUCUCAUUUAUUUUUUUGUGUUUAUGUUGGUCGCUUUAAUUUGCUCAAGUGCGGUUUGAUUCGGCUUUUGAUUGUUUUAUCCUGGGAGAAAAACGUUAUUGUGUAGGACGAAUCUAGUUUAAGAAAAUUGUAUAAGACUUCAAUUUUAAUUUGUUUAUGUUUAUUCUAAUCAACGUUAUUUUGUCCAACGUACACUAGCAUGAUGUACCAUGAUUAGUGUGAUGUGAUGAAGGUGAUUAGAACCACUAUGACGCUCAACGGUUGUAAUGAGUCUUGAGAUGAAACCCUAGGCGACCUUCCUAGCCUUGACAUUGACCCCUGGUUGGGCCUUUAAGAUUAGGUGACGCUCUCUCCGCCAAAUUCAAGUCAUCGCUUGACAAACGGCUAAGAUGAUGUGGGUUGGUUAUCAAGAGAAUGACCAUGACCACUUGAGUGUUCUGGCUAUCCAAACCUGAAGCCUAUCUAUCAAUAAUGGCUCGGGUUGGGGCCUAUCAGUAGCUACCUAGGGGCCGUUUGGAGAAGGUCAUGACAAACGAAUUGUGAGAUUCCAUGCCCUGAAAUUGAUCCUGUGUUUAUCCCGAUCAAUUAAGUUGAGAGCAGUUUUAAACCCAAACCCAAACUCAAACACUAAACCCAAAUUCAAAACGAAACAAAUAUAAAAUGAUGUUGAAAAGACUUCUGUACCCUUUUUAUUCAGACCGUUAGAUCUAAAAUCCUUGAGAUCUAACGGUCCAUGAACGUCCUAAAAAUUUCAAAAUCCUUUUUCGUCUGGAUUCCAAACCUGCUCCGAUCUAAGUUGAAUCAAGAGUUCACCCACCCGGCUGUAAUCAUUCAAAGAACACAAGAAAUGACUUUUAUGCAAGGAAUGAAUUGUGUGGGACCCAUUGUACCACCCGUCGCACCAAUGAACAUGUUCCCUCUUUUAUCCAUCUCCCUCCCAAAAUCAACGUCCACUCAAAGCAUUACAUNNNNNNNNNNNNNNNNNNNNNNNNNUAAUUGAUGACGUAGUGCCAUGCCAGGACAUCAUAUUAUUAUUAUUAUUAUUAUUAUUAUUAUUAUUAUUAUUAUAUAAUGUAUAAAUUCAUUAGUACUAGUGUGGGCCUUAUUAUUACGGUUUAAGAUGUGUGAACAUCAAUCUUCCUCGCGAAACAUAGCCCCUAAUAAUAACAGGAUAUUAUUCUGUCAUUUAACAUAACAUCAAGAACCGAAAGUGAUGGAUUGUGAGUCAUGACUAUUAUCAUUAUUCUUUUAUUUUUAUGGAUACAAUAGGAGUCCAGAUUUCGAGUCGGAAAAUGGCUUUUAGAUCUGGUUUACAAAAGCCUGCUCAAAAUUAUGUCUUAGAUCUAGCGGCUGAAAAUACAGGGUAGAAUUGACAUUUUAUAGCCAUGCAAAUGUAUAUAGUAAGUGUUGUAUACAAAUAUGUGUAUGAUACUUAGUAUAGUGCAUAGUAUUACACUUAGUAUGAAAACCAUACAAAUAUACAUACACUUUUUUACAAGUUUGUACAAACCUAUACACACUUGUAUGAUCCGUACAACUCUUGGUACAAAGUUGUUCAACCGGUCUUGGAAAAUAUUUUCAAAAAUAAUAAUUUUUCCAUAAACGCGGAAAUGGUCAUGUGGAUGCUACACUUUUCGUCAACAGGGUCGGAAUCACCGAGAAGCUGAUCAGGAAACUUUCCGAUGUUCAUAGACGACCGGCAAUUAAACAAACAAACAUAUUUAAAACAGCAUGACCAUAUUACCCCUAAUUAAUCGAAACCCUUAGAACAUGUGGAGAUCUACGGGCCCCGAUUGUUCGUGGGUCGUAUCAUGCAAAACUAAUUAUUAUCCAUAUAUAUAUAUAUAUGUCAUGUGCUAAUGACAUACAGCCAUCCAUCAAUUAAUUGGUGGUUGAUUGGUAUUGGUCACUCACUCGAGUUUCAGUGAACGUAGAGAGUCAACUAAACCAAGCAAGAAACGAGAAAAUAUUUAUUAAAUAAUUUAUUGCCAUUAUAUGAAACAUCCACGUUCACGGGGGGGCAUCCGUAACAAAUCAAAGUUAGGAAACAAUUGUUUCAGUCAACUACAAAUAUUUGGGUCCUGGACAUAGACACCCUUGAUUCCACUCCACAUAAAUCUCACUUGAUUCCAGAAAUCCGCACAUAUAUAAUCGAUGUCUAAUUACUUGAUUAUUAGAUUUAUAUUGACCGCAUUAAAGCGGUUCGAGUGACAAUCUGAUGUGACCAAGCUCGAGUUUUUCGUUGAUAAAAUUUUUUAUCAACAUGUUUUGUGCAAACCCCUAAACAUUAAAAUUCUACGUGCAUGAUCAUCAUUUUUAGCCCUAUUUUUCUAGUAAGACAAUUUAUAAUGAGUUUUUUGUGAUUUGAAAAGUUUAUAAUUAAAUUUAUAGUCGAAGAUUAGUUUCCAAUUCUUGGACCAUUGACAAAAAACAAUGAAUUUUUUAGAAACCCCUUCAUGGAUAUCAUUCGGGAUAGAGUAUAGGGUGGAAAGAAAAAAGUACAAAGUAGAAUUUUAUUGCAUAGUUUGCAUAGUUAAAAUUUUGUGUUUAGGAAUUUAAUAUUAACUAUUGAGAUUUGAUAUAUUAAUGUGCAUGGUACAUUCAAUACUAAAUUUUAAAUUUUAAAUAUUUCAUAUUCAACUCUAAACUCUAAAAGAUAAUGUUAAACCCCUAAAUGCUAAAUUCUAACCCUUAAAUAUUUUAUUCUAAAAUUAAAUUCUUAAUCGUACUUCACUCUGACUUUUGACCAUAAAUAUAAAUUAAUCAAUCAUAAAUAUUUUAUUUAGACUCUAAACACUAACCACUAUAUUUUCAUAAACUCUAAACACUAAAAAAAACCUUAAAACUCUUAAUUUUAAACAUAGUAUAUAACAAAAAUAUAAUAAAAUAUCGUGUACACUAAUACACUAAUUAAGAUUGUUUACUUACAAAUUUAAAUUAAUAAAAGUGUAAAUUAAAUUGUACCCAUAUUUGAGGUAUCAAAGCGCUUUCUAUAUAAUGUACAAAAAAAUUAUGAAAAUAAAAGUAAAUAAAAAAAGAAGGUGAAAGUCAGGGGCAAUAGAACAAAGGAGUAUAUAUUUUCGGUGGUGGGACAUGUUCAGCCAUGUGCAUGCAUGUGCUGUGUCUUUCUCCCACACUCAUUUGGGCCCUACCUCCUCCUCCUCUUCUUCUUCUUCUCCUUCUUCUUCUUCUCCUUCUUCUUCUUCUUCGCCAAUCGCCCUUCCCCUCCUGCAAAUAAAUUAAGCCCCCUGCUACUCUUUCCUUUUCUUUCUUGGAUCUGCAGACCCUCGACAUUUAUUAUUACUAUUAUAAAUUACAGCAGCUCCCUCAGUUCACCAAAACAAGGCAGAAGCAGAGAUAAAGAUAUUCUUCAUUCUUCUUGGGCACUACGUACGUAUGUUGUUUCUGCACUAAGUAUCCUCCCUCUCCUCAACCCUACGUACCCUCCAUUCAUAUAAUCAGGUAGGUAAUUAAUUAAGCUUGCGUCGUCUCUCAUUAAACCCUACAUGCUUGUAUAUUAUACAGUCUUCUUAAUCGCUCUCCCUUCUCCCUGCUGCUCCUCUUUCUAUUUCAUGAUUAUAAGAACAAUGCUAGCUAGCUUUUUCUUAAGAUGAUAUCACUCCAAAUCAAAAUUUCAUUGAUUAUUCUUUAUAUAUAUAUGAGGAGAUCAAAUUCUCAUGUAAAAUCUGCAAAUUCAAACAACUUUGCCAAAAAAAAUAUUCAAUUAAUUUCUAAAAUUUAAAUUGAUUACUAAUCAUAUAUGUAACUGUUUGCAUCAUAAUUAUUCGAGUUGUUGGGAAAGGGUUCGGUUUGAUAGUUAUAUUAUUCAUAUUAACACGCCCACCUCAAACAGAAACUCUCAAAAGAGCUGAGGUUUGCACAGUUUCAUUAUGUAAAUCAGGUUCACGGAAUGGGGGCUACCUGAUACGAAACGAAAAUCUUUCAGUCUUUUUUAUGUUUUGAUAUCAUGUCAAGAACUAUUGGGGGAGGGUUCUGAUUGAUAAAAUAUAUUAUUUAUUAACGAUAACAACAAUUUUCGGAGAGAAAAAAAUGAUUACUCUUAUUGUGAAUUUCGAUACUCGUGUAACAUUUUUAUGGGCAUCAAUUAUAAAAAAAAAUCUCUAUGGACAUGUUUGUCAAAGUUUUUAAGAAUCAAUCAUAACAGUGAACGUACUUUAUAACAACAAAUGUAAAUAAUUAAUUAACAGAGUAUUUUUGUGUCUAGGCUUAAUUUACAGUUUUGAGGGGUAGGAAUGCGUUCUCCAACCUCAUUGAAGCGAGAAUUCCUAAAGAAAUGGAUACUAGCUCUUCAACUAUGUAACCGCACCAACAAGUCGAAAAGUAGUAGUACUGUCACGGAGAGGAAGAAGACGAUCAAACUAUCAGCCGAAAUAGCAAUGGCCACGGCAAGAAACGGCGCCACGUGUUGGAGCCGCGCAAUCAUCGCCAAUGCGGCCAAGUCGGAGGAGGCCAAACCCUUCCUCAGCCUCCUCGUCGGCACGCAACAACAGCAGCAGUGUGCUGCGAGUUCCGGGGCCGGAAGGCCGAAGAAGAAGCGGAUGGUGACGACGAGGUGCAAGAAGAUAGUAAAGAGGAGCUGCCGGAGAAGAAGCAUUAACGUGGUGGCGGCGGCGGCUCCGGAAAAGGUGGCGAAAUGGAUGGCAAAGAGGAGGAGGAAGAAGUCGACGGAGGUGCUGAAGAGGAUAGUGCCAGGAGGGGAGUUGAUUGGCGAUGACGUGGCGUUGAUUCUUGAAACCCUAGACUACAUGGUGUCACUCCGAGCUCAGGUCCAAGUUAUGAGAUGUCUUGUUCGAGCUGCAGCUGGCUCUGGUUUUCAGGAUAUUGUUUGAUCCAGACGUCAAAGCACAAGGGUAUUUGUGUCAUAUAGAUAUAUUGUAAUAUGUAACUAUAUUAUAUACGUACGUACGUUAAGGGUUAUAUUAUAUAUAUUUCAAAUACAUAUUUUUAUACUCAUCCUUACAUACCCAUGUAAGGAUGAGAUGGUUAUUUGCGGACUAUUAGAUCAUUUUAACAAGAAAUCGCUAGUCCGAGUCCGGUUGGCCUAAUGUCAUAUAACAUUUUGAGAAAACCAUAAUGCAUAAUGUCAUAUACAUGUAUAUUUUAACUCAAUAUUAGGUUUAAAUAAUAUAAUUUUUAUUCAAAUCCGACUCCAUGCAUGUUUCCACGAUACUAAUUCGGCACAACUCUCCAUAAAGCGGUCUAGUAUGUCAUUAAAAUUGGUAACCAACUAAUGUGAUUCAAGUCUCAAUCGUGUGAAAAUCGAGUUCCUCCAAAUAAAACUAAUGCCGAAUAGGGGACUAGUGACUUAGCUUGACAGAUAGCUUUCAAUAAGUAUAGUAUAGGAGGAACAUGGUCGUCAGUUGAAUUCUUUUUAUAGCUAGAGGAGAGGGGGGGUUGUGUGAGUGAAUUAUUGAGUAUAUUAUAGGUGGUGGUGGUGGCGCCGUGACAUAAGAUAGAACAAUGAAAGGCAGAGAAGCCUUUCCCUUUCAUGUAACAGAAACCAAUGAAAGGGAAACCCAUACGAACACUCACACACACACACACACCAAAAUAUGUGUAUGUGAUCAGUUGGUAACAUGCAUAUAUAGCUACAAAUUGAUCGACAUGUGAUGGUGACAAGUGCUUUGGGAGGGGGGAGGUACGUUACAAGUCUGGAAAUGGGGAUAAUCAAUAUAUCAUGUUAAUUUGCACGUAAUGACGCAUACACCUUUUCAUGUGCAAUAUCCAAUGAAUGUGUCUUGUCCAUUCCAAUGUGUAACAUGCACAUACAUAAGCAAAGCAUCUAGCCUUACAUCGUCCUCUCAAUUAACUGCCCUUCUCAAUUAUUCUAUGUAAUAUAUAGAGUUUUGGAUUUUUAAAUCCAAAUAUAUGGAUAUAGACAUAGGGUGGGUAGUUUGAUUUUGUUUGAACUUUGAUUAAUAUAUUUGGUUAUGGGAAGAUUUAAAUUAUAUUGCGAUCUCAGAUGAUUUGGAGGGUGAUUUUAUGUUUUGUUAAGUUUUAGUUUUUUUUGAAAUUAAUUUUUGAAAUGGCGUAUUUAUAUUUUUCAAAAUUUUAUAAAGAGCACGUUUGGUAUAGGAAAAUUCUGAAUUUUAGAAAUGUAGAAUUUAUGAAUUGGAUUAAUAUUGAGAAAGUGUGAAUUUAUUGUUUGGUGUCCGAAAUUUUUACAUUGAAAUACAUUUUGAAUAAGUGCAGCAUUUGUUCAUUGACCAAAUUACCCUAUAAAAAGUGAGAUUAUGAGCAAGGAAGAAAAAGAGGAGAAAGUGGGAAGAAUAUCAAUGGAAAUAAGUUACAGUAUUAUGAUGGGUCCACUAAAAACUCAAGGAAAGUUGAAAAUGUUGGUGGUAAGCAACAUUUCUACAAAUAUAUUUUGGACAAUAAAAAUGGGUCCAAAUAAUUCCAUAUUCCCAUCCUCUCGCUUCAAUCGUCUCUCUGGAACUCUAACUCUUUCCAAGAGCUCGAAAAAUAUGUGUAUAUUGAAGUCUAUCCCGUCCACAGGGGUCUCGGAGGUAUUUAUAGGCUUCUGGACCAAGUUGGAGAAGGAAAAGGACUUGAAAACCCGUAUGGGGGUGGGACACGGCGUGCUCCAUAUGGAACACGCUAUGUUCCAUGAACACGGCCGUGUUCCUGGCCGUGUUCGACCCCUGUAACUUUCUCGGGCAAUUUCAGCGGAGGAACACGCCGUGUUCCUUCCUUAUACGGAAUUUGAUCAUAGUGUUAACAUCAAAGUUGUAGACAAUCGAAUUAUCUUUCCAACGCCGCUGACCUUGCAUCAAUUGGACUUCAGAGCGAUGAGUUAUGCUCAAAAUACUAAACAGUGACGCUUUCUUCCAAAGUCGAACGCUUUGAGUUGUUCCGGCCUCCCCAUCAUGUCUUGGUUUAUCUCCAAACGUCAUAUGACACCUGAAAUAUUACAAAAAACAUACCAAACACCAUAAUACCGCCCCGAGGGGCAAGAGAACCAAACAUGUACUCAAAACCCAAAUUUGAAUACAUUUCGACUCACAAAAAUAUAGUUUAUAACGAGAAAAGGUGUGUCGAAAAUACAUCAUAUUAGUGUGUGUGGAUCAAACACACACCCCAAUUCAACCUUUAGUGUGAGAAAUGCCUUAGGGGAAUUUCAUCAAACACUUGGUGGGAGAUCUGAAAGACCCUCAAUUGUGUGACAUGAUUGAGGGAUAGGGCGUUUGGGGUGUAAACAGUGACUUACCACCUAUUUCCAAGUGUUUGUAGUGCCUCUAAGGUAAUUUGAUCACUUAGACAUUUUUUCGAACACUUAGUGUUCAUUACCAAUUGGUUUGAUCACUUGCCAAUUGGUAGUGGUAGUCCAUUACAAGACCUUGUCUUGGACUCCUACAAAUUUCUUGAAGAGAUUCAAGCUAUAACUUGUGUCCAAUGUAUAGUACUUGUUAGUUAUUGCAGGUAUAAAUUAUUUUAUUUUCUCAUUUGUCUCGAUGUUACUUUAUGUGAGUGAUUGUGAUUUAGUAUUUUAGAUCUGUUAGAGGUACUAAUAACCAUAAUCAAUUACAGGUUCGGAUAGAUACUACUAAUUUGUCUUCAUCCGGUACUCGUAAGUGAUUCGAGGUACCGAUUUUAUGUCGAGGUACUGAUUGACAAUCGAGUAUCCGUUGAUUGACUACCGCUCCCAUCAACCAUCAAUUCCUUUACCUUGGGUCUGAUCCGGGCUCGUGUGGCUACCAGCCAGCAUGCAUUGAUGAAUUCUCGGCCAGCAUGCAUUGAUUCUAGCCGCCGGUUAUGAAAGUAAGAAAUAAAGCAAUACCUUUUCUAUUUUCAUAUAUGAAUGAACUGUCCUUUGGUUAAUAAACAAGAGUUUAAAUGUUUACCAAAAAUAAAACAAGAGUUUAAUGAACAACAAAUGCAGAAUCUAAACAUGUUUGGGGGGUUGGUUUAAUUAUUAUGUCCAUCACACAUCAUGCAAAUGAGCAUGCUUCAUUCUUAACCUAACCAAAAAAAAA
rnacentral:lncRNA from 1 species